UACGUAGGGUGCAAGCGUUAAUCGGAAUUACUGGGCGUAAAGCGUGCGCAGGCGGCUUUGCAAGACAGAUGUGAAAUCCCCGGGCUUAACCUGGGAACUGCAUUUGUGACUGCAUGGCUGGAGUGCGGCAGAGGGGGAUGGAAUUCCGCGUGUAGCGGUGAAAUGCGUAGAUAUCUGGAGGAACACCGGUGGCGAAGGCGACAUCCUGGACCGGUAUUGACGCUGAGGCGCGAAAGCCAGGGGAGCAAACGGG
rnacentral:rRNA from 1 species